UUCCGGUUGAUCCUGCCGGAGGUCACCGCUAUUGGAGUUCGAUUAAGCCAUGCGAGUCGUUCGAGCCAACAGAGGCAUACUGCUCAGUAACACGUGGAUAAUCUGCCCUAAGGUGGGGAAUAAUCUCGGGAAACUGAGGAUAGUGCCCCAUAGACCUCAUAUGCUGGAAUGCUUUGAGGUCGAAAGGACCGCGCGCCUUAGGAUGAGUCUGCGGCCUAUCAGGUCGUAGUGAGUGUAACGGACUCACUAGCCGACAACGGGUACGGGCCUUGAGAGAGGUUGCCCGGAGAUGGAUUCUGAGACACGAAUCCAGGCCCCACGGGGCGCAGCAGGCGCGAAAACUUCACAAUGCGGGAAACCGCGAUGAGGGAACUCCAAGUGCCAGUACAUUAGGCUGGCUGUUCGCUUGCCUAAAAAGCUAGCGGAGUAAGGGGUGGGUAAGAUCUGGUGCCAGCCGCCGCGGUAAUACCAGCAGCCCAAGUGGUGAUCGCUAUUAUUGGGCCUAAAGCGUCCGUAGCCGGGCUGGUAAACCCUUGGGUAAAUCGGGCAGCUUAACUGUUCGACUUCUGAGGAGACUGCCAGACUAGGGACCGGGAGAGGUCAGAGGUACUUCUAGGGUAGGGGUGAAAUCCUGUAAUCCUAGAAAGACCACCAGUGGCGAAGGCGUCUGACUAGAACGGGUCCGACGGUAAGGGACGAAGCCCUGGGUCACGAACCGGAUUAGAUACCCGGGUAGUCCAGGGUGUAAACGCUGCGGGCUUGGUGUUGGGGUGGCUACGAGCCACUUCAGUGCCGCAGGGAAGCCGUUAAGCCCGCCGCCUGGGGAGUACGGCCGCAAGGCUGAAACUUAAAGGAAUUGGCGGGGGAGCACCACAAGGCGUGAAGCUUGCGGUUCAAUUGGAUUCAACGCCGGA
rnacentral:rRNA from 1 species